AGCCUCGAGGUGUGGUACACACUAGAUUGCAAAUCCAGAGUUGUAGGGUAACUCCUACCGGGGCUU
rnacentral:tRNA from 1 species